UGGGGAAUAUUGCACAAUGGGCGCAAGCCUGAUGCAGCCAUGCCGCGUGUGUGAAGAAGGCCUUCGGGUUGUAAAGCACUUUCAGCGGGGAGGAAGGCGUUAAGGUUAAUAACCUUGGCGAUUGACGUUACCCGCAGAAGAAGCACCGGCUAACUCCGUGCCAGCAGCCGCGGUAAUACGGAGGGUGCAAGCGUUAAUCGGAAUUACUGGGCGUAAAGCGCACGCAGGCGGUCUGUCAAGUCGGAUGUGAAAUCCCCGGGCUCAACCUGGGAACUGCAUUCGAAACUGGCAGGCUAGAGUAUUGUAGAGGGGGGUAGAAUUCCAGGUGUAGCGGUGAAAUGCGUAGAGAUCUGGGGGAAUACCGGUGGCGAAGGCGGCCCCCUGGACAAAGACUGACGCUCAGGUGCGAAAGCGUGGGGAGCAAACAGG
rnacentral:rRNA from 1 species